rnacentral:tRNA from 1 species
GACAAUUGAAUCCAAUUUUUCCCAUUAUUUGACUAUCCGUAAUAGUGCGAAAAGAAGGCCCGGCUACAAGUU